rnacentral:rRNA from 1 species
UACGUAGGGAGCAAGCGUUGUCCGGAAUCAUUGGGCGUAAAGCGCGUGUAGGCGGCCCGGAAAGUCUGGUGUGAAAACCUGAGGCUCAACCUCAGGCUGUCACUGGAUACUGUCGGGCUUGAAUCCGGAAGAGGAGAAUGGAAUUCCUGGUGUAGCGGUGGAAUGCGCAGAUAUCAGGAGGAACACCAAUGGCGAAGGCAGUUCUCUGGUACGUGAUUGACGCUGAGACGCGAAAGCGUGGGGAGCAAACAGG